rnacentral:rRNA from 1 species
AUUGAACGCUGGCGGCAGGCCUAACACAUGCAAGUCGAACGAGUGGCGGACGGGUGAGUAAUGUCUGGGAAACUGCCUGAUGGAGGGGGAUAACUACUGGAAACGGUAGCUAAUACCGCAUACCAUCAGAUGUGCCCAGAUGGGAUUGGCUUGUUGGUGGGGUAACGGCUCACCAAGGCGACGAUCCCUAGCUGGUCUGAGAGGAUGACCAGCCACAAUGGAACUGAGACACGGUCCAGACGCCUACGGGAGGCAGCAGUGGGGAAUAUGGCACAAUGGGCGAAAGUGUGAUGCAGCCUUGCCGAUCGUAUGAAGACGGCCGUCGGGUGGUAAAGUACUUUCAGCGGGGAGGCGUUACCCGCAGAAGAAGCACCGGCUAACUCCGUGCCAGCAGCCGCGGUAAUAC